UAUAAUUAGCGUAUAAUGAGCAGUGCGACAACCAGAGGUCACUUUCAUUGCCAUCUUGGUUUUGGUAGGUUUUGGACAGCUUCUUUACACAUGCUGUUUCAUCGGCAAGGUCUUCAUGACUGGUAUCUUGUGCCAACCUCCUAUCUCAUCCUGUCUCUAAGAAUGCCUUAACCUCCUGGGAAUGCAGCCCACAUGCCAGAAACUAUACAAUCCACCUCCUUUGAAGGAGUUUGCUCAUUUAAAAAAAAAAAAAAGGAAAUUUGGAUACAGACAGGUACACAUGUGAACACAAAGACAGAAAUUGGAGUGAUGAAUCCACAACCCAAGGAUUGCCAGCAAGUCACCGGAGUCCCAGACAGCAUCCUGGGGCAGCCCCCUACAUGGUACGAACCCCAUCAACACCUUGAUCUCAGACUUCCAGCCUCCAGAACUGUAUCACAGUCUAGAAGUCUUCUCACAUUCUCAAAUUUGGCGUAUCCCUUUGAUCCCUCCAGACUCCUCAUCCCAGGGGACCAUCAUGGCCAGGGGAGGGUCAGAGCAGGACCCUAUAAACCACAGACCCCAGGGCAGGAGCCCCUCUGGCCUGGAUCUAAGGGUGGUAUUUUCAAUGAUCAUUAAAGAUUUAUCAUAGGCUCUCCAAAUAGAAGUCUAAUAGUCUCAAAACAUGAUGCAGAAGAAGUCUGUAAAAAAUAUAAAUUCCUAGGCCCCAACUCAGACCUAUGAAUCAGAUCAUCCGUAUGGAGUUUCUAGGAAUCCACAUUUUUAAACAAUCUUCCUAAAUGACUUGUAUUUAUACUAAAGUUUGAGAAUUGCUAUCAAACAGCUAGCAGUUAGAGUGAAGGGUCCUGCCUUUCCCAUGAAGUCCAUCAACUCUAUGCCCCCAAAAGCUGGGCCCUUGGAUGGGCUGCUCUCCAUUCUAGAGACUUUACCAUCUUUCCUCAGGAAGCUAAGCCCAGACUCUUCAGUACAGUGUCAGAUAAACACUGAUCACAUUGUACUCUCCAAUUCCAAGAACACCAUUACUUAAUUCCUGGCAAGUUACAAUGUAAUUGAGUAGGUUGCAGUUUUCUUUUUUAUAUCAGGCAUAGUUAGCCAACUUCCUGGAAACACCAUGAGCUCUUGAUGAAAAUUCCAGAAACACACAUCAUUUCCUAAUUAAGGCUGGGAAUUUAAAAAAAUUAUUAAACCACAUGCUUUCUAAUUCCUGUUGCCCUUUUUUUUCACCCACCAUUCAGCAUUCAGCAGACACUUUCUGGGUUAUCAGGAUAGGACCAUCCAGGCAGAACAAAAGCUAUGGAUUAUGAACUACAGAGGAAAGCUUGGUAAAUGAACAGCAGAAACUAUGGUCUACAGGGGCCUGGCUUUCUCCCAUCUAGAUAACUAGGCCCAACCCUAUUUGGGCUUAGUUUCCUAAAUCAGAUGAAAUUGGGCACAUUCAGGUGGUAUUCUGACAGAAAAAAAAGGGAUUCUCUUUUUUUCUUUCUUUUAAAUUUUAGAGCAUUAACUUUAAACAUCAAGAUCCAAACCCCAAGGAUUCAGGGAACCUCAUACCAUAAACCAUUUGUAUUAGUGAGGGUUCUCCAGAGAAACAGAAUCAGCAGGAGGUAUAGACAGAGAUAGAAAAACAUGUAAUUGGCUCCCACGAUUAUGGAGGCUGAGAAGUCCCUCAAUCUGCUGCCUGCAAGCUGGAGACUUAGGAAAGCUGGUGGUACAAUUCAGUCCAAGUCCAAAGGCCCAAGAACUAAGAGCACCAUUGUCAGAGAGCAGGAAAAGAGAGAUGUCCCAGCUCAAGAAAAGAGAGAGCAAAUUUGCCUUCCUUCCACCAUUUUGUUCCAUCCUGCUCCAUUCCUCAACAGGUGUGAUGAUGCCCGCCUGCAUUGGUGAGGGAGAUUUUUACCCAAUCUCAAGCUUUUUGUGUAGUCAAAUAUGGGAUACAAAUGAAAAAUACUUAAAGUGCAUCAUCAUUAACUUCCAACUUAGUCUAGUUUGACUUCCCUUUUCUUCUAUCCUGUCGAAUCUUUGAGGGAUCUCUCCUUGUUCAUCUCUGUAUCUCUAAUAAUUAGCACAGUGUGAGGCACGUGGUAAUCAGUUAUAACAGUAGAUUAUUGGUCUCCAACAUAAUUAGGCCCAUCCAAAAACAAAAAAACCAACUUUCCAAACCUACUUUGCAAAGUUCAUAAACAGUAGAUAUGCUAUGUCUCAAAGGUGCUGGCCAAAAAAAUUAAAAACUUGGGAAUUAUGUGUUUUUUUUUUUCACCAGGUCUACUUUUCUGUCACAAGAGCCAUAUAUUAACAACACACCCACGUAUGCCUUUCUUUUUAUCCACUUUUCUCCAUGAAGUCUGUCACCAUCAACUGUUAAAACUAUAAAGAUUUGAUCAGCUAAGUAAGUGAUCUUUGGAACUAAUUUCUCUCAUACUUCCUAAAGGAACUUUGAAAAUCUAUGUAUCACUCUGCAUAUUUUCAAGUAAACACCUAAGAUUUUUCAUCAUAAAUCUGAAUAACUUCAAAGUAUGUACUUUCUAGCAUACUGUAAAUAUUGAUUUUUAAAUAAAAUAUAUCACACUUUGUAUCCAA